AUGUUUCAAGUUCUCUUCUUUGUCACAAAGACUCAGACACUGAAUAGAGCUUUUUAAAAAUCCAUGUGAUCAGACAGCCACAAGCUGAGCAUACAGUCUCAAUCUUUUAUCGCUAACGUAAUAAAACCUACAGCCGAAAAGAAAGCCAGGAAGGCAUCUGAGGCAGCCCCGGCUGUUGUGGCAAACCCCUCUUUAAAUGUCGGUCCUCUUGGAAGAGGAACGAUACAUUUCCACCCAUUCAGGAGAGAACCUAGCCGUUUCAGACCAGGUCGAAGGAGCUGGUCUGUAUCACCAUACCCUUUCAAUAGGACAGCAGCCCUUUUCUGGGACUCCAUAAUCUCAAACUGGGCCAGUGAGGGUCCCCCAAACCACAGCUGGGCACAGAUGACAAUUAGUCUUACGGCACAGCACAGCCUGGGUCCUUGAGUCACCUCGAAGACAGCCACCCCCUGAACAGGAACAGUCCUACUUGGUGGCAACUGAAAGUGGAUUUCUAUUGUGUUAAAGCCACUGAACCUUCGAGGGGCUCUUUGUCAGUGCAGGUCCUGGACACUGGAGAUGACCGUCCCUGCCGCCAACUUCCGGCCCCCCAACUCACCACCCAGCGGAGCCGCAGGCUGGUCUCACUAGCAGUCCGCACGGUGAUGCUGGUCGGAGCCACGUCCGGGGGCGCCUGCAGG